rnacentral:rRNA from 1 species
AGCAGCCGCGGUAAUUCCAGCUCCAAUAGCGUAUAUUAAAGUUGUUGCAGUUAAAAAGCUCGUAGUUGAAUUUCGGGAUUAGUAAGUUGGUCGUGCCUCCGGUAUGUACUGGCUCUACUGGUUCCUCCUUCUUGAAGAACUGUAAUGUCAUUAAUUUGGUGUUGCAGGGAAACAGGACUGUUACUUUGAAAAAAUUAGAGUGUUUAAAGCAGGCUAACGCUUGAAUACAUUAGCAUGGAAUAAUGAAAUAGGACGUUUGAUCCUAUUUUGUUGGUUUCUAGGAUUGACGUAAUGAUUAAUAGGGAUGGUUGGGGGCAUUAGUAUUCAAUUGUCAGAGGUGAAAUUCUUGGAUUUAUUGAAGACUAACUACUGCGAAAGCAUUUGCCAAGGAUGUUUUCAUUAAUCAAGAACGAAAGUUAGGGGAUCGAAGACGAUCAGAUACCGUCGUAGUCUUAACCAUAAACUAUGCCGACUAGGGAUCGGAUGAUGUUAAUUUUUUAAUGUACUCAUUCGGCGCCUU